rnacentral:rRNA from 1 species
UACAGAGGUCUCGAGCGUUAGGCGGAAUCACUGGGCUUAAAGCGUGUGUAGGCGGAUUGGUAAGUACUUUGUGAAAUCCCACGGCUUAACCGUGGAACUGCUUGGUAUACUGCCAGUCUUGAGCCAGCUAGGGGCUACCGGAACAAAUGGUGGAGCGGUGAAAUGCGUAGAUAUCGGGAGGAACACCUGUGGCGAAAGCGGCUCACUGGACCACAACUGACGCUGAGGCGCGAAAGCUAGGGGAGCAAACAGG